AAAACUUUUGUGUAUCUUUCCGCUAUUCUAUUUUACUAAUUGCUUACAUUUGUGGUACGUAUGAAUCUAUAAUUGCUAUUUGCUUUUCACGAUUAGUAUAUCUUUUUUUAGUAUUUAUGUAUUCAAUUAAUAGGUUUCUAUAGUAUAUGACAACAAUAUCAAAGUUGCAAAUUAAUAGAAAAUAUUAUAAAAAAUAAUUAUAUGAUUUCCUCACAUUUGUAUAUGAUUUGGCUGGUUGAAUUAACAGAUACGUAUGUUAUGGGAGUUAUGGGAUACGGACAUACUGGUUAAAAUCUCACAAUAAUCAGCAAAGAAGAAAUACAUGAAAUUGUAGUAAAUCCCGAUUGUACCCCACUAUUAAAAAGAUAUAUACACCCAUAAAUACUUACAUAUACAGACACAAAUCAUGAUCAUACAUUUUCUUCUUAGAACACUCUUGACUCUAAAUUUAUUCGACAAAAACAGAGUAUCAUUAAAUGUUAUUUAUUUUAUAUAUGAAUUAACAAUAAUAUUAUUUAUAUAACACUCAUAAAUAUAUAUACUACUUGAUUUUGCAGGCAUGUUCGUGAUGACACAAGUUUUCUCAGCGAAUGCUCAAAACAUAUGUAUCAAACGUAUUGAUGGUUCUACUCCUUGCCGGCAAGAAUUAUCACUUUGCGAAAAACAAUGCCACAAACUUUUUGGACUACAUAUUAUUAAGUCACAGUGU
rnacentral:lncRNA from 1 species